GGCAAACAUCCUCUGGCCUGCAACUCACAGAAGCCUGCAAGUCACAUGCUGUACUUCCCACUGGUCACCAGGAUUUCAGAUUAUGUUUGCAUCAGGCUUUUCUAGAUGCACCAGACAAAUCACAGAUUUGGAGGUGAACUGUUUGUUCUGGUUGUGUUAUGGAGGUUAAGCUCUGAUAAGGGCGAAGCUGUCUCUUACCAGUGGAAAGACCUCAGUUAUAAUUGCACAACUGGUUUAAAAGAAAACAUUCUCUGGAUACAAAAUAACUGAAAAGAGGAACAGUUUCUUCAGGUACUGGUAAAUUCAAUACUGCCUGCUCAUAACGCCACAUUUCCUUUGUGAACAGCUAUCAGGAAAACAGGAAUGAAAUUAAAAAACGAGAGCCUGGAUGAGAAAAUAUUUUUGUAAGCCUUAGGCGGGGAUCAGACAAGAAAAUGGUGAGUUCUCAAUGUAAGAAGCAGCUUUUAAAAGUAAGUAUUUGUGAAGAAAGUAACUGAAAAAUGGCACUUCUAUCCAAAUAAACAGUUCUAGAAAAUUGUAUCAGUCUGCAGUGCCAAAGCUAGGAGAGUCUGUGUAUGCUGUGUUGAUAAAUACAAAUAUGAAUCUUAGUUUAAUGCUUGAAAACAUCUUUAACAUCAGUACUCUAGUAUGUACAUAAGUACUCUAGUAUGCGGUUACCUUACUUCCAGUGUUACCUAUCAAUGCCUGCUGCUGUUACAACUUGUUUUGUAACAAUAAUGGCUAUAGGGUGUUGGAAAGAACACAGUUUUUCCACAUUUGGGCUGCAGAUAAAGUUCGGGAGAACUUCCCUUGCAAGUGCUUUUCAGAGCAGUCUACUGUUCUUCUUAAGGUUGCUUUAAAAACAAAUAAUUAGGGAGAAAAAGGUGUACUGAGGAAAUUAUAGAGGUAAAAGUAGAGCAGCAAUAUGCAUACAGGUCCCGAGUCUUACCUGCUCCUGUGACCAGCAUGUUUUUGGAUGACGUGUUUCAUUUAGUGACCAUGCAGAUAUUCUCCAGAGUGCGGGUUCCAGUCCCUGCACCCCUCCCCAGUUGGGGCUUCUAAUGAAGACCCAUUUUUUUGUGAAAUAAAAUGACUCAACAGUAUUUGGCAAGUUCUGAGCUGUGUUAUGUGAGAUUGGCCCAGAUAAAAGUUUAGGGUCCUGUCCCCCAAAUCCUCCUUUUUCAUACAAUUGCUAUUUUGACUAUCAUUCUUCAUUUUACAGAGAAGGUACUUCAGUUAGAAUAUAGGCCUCAUAGACAUGUAGGCACUUGGUACCUUACUUUUAGGACUGGAAUUGUGCAAACUGACCUGAAGCAGGAUGGUAUCUGGUGUGUAUCUGUCUUUCCAGUGGUCCACAAAGACAAAAUCCAGAGUAUCGACUUCAUAUUUUUUUUUCAGCUGGGGGAUAAUUACCUCUGAAGGGCCUUCAAGGAGUUUUACCUGAAAUGCAAAUCAUCUGAUGAAUUGCAAACCAUUAAGAACACGCCUCUAGCUCAUUUUAAAUUGUGGCCAGACAUCAAUGAUCCUGCUUGUAGUUAAACAUACUUUUGAACUACUCUAUUACUUUUCUUAGUUGCAUCUCAGUUGAAUUAUGAAGUUCAAACAGGAGUAGAAAAUAAAAAUACAGCCAGGAAAGGAGGAAGGACAGAGCCUGUUGUACCUUCCUUACAGGUUUAUUGGAGUAAAUACUGUUAAACUGAAAGAAAUUGCUGCACGUUGAUCUGUUAAACAAGUGCCAUAUGCUGUAAGUGGAAGAAAAAUAGUAAGGAGAACUGUCUGGCAUAUGAUUCAUAGUUCAUCAGAUGAUUAAAUUAGAUGGAGAGAAAUGCAAUUUUAGAUGCCACUAUUAUUUAAGGCUCUCAUCAAGAAGUUACGAAACACCUCUGAAGAUCUCAUCUUCAAGGUGGGAUUUAUUUCUAGUAGUUUUAUCAUCUCUGUUGAAGUUGGUUGGCUGGCUGAUAGAGUGACACUUCUGGGUGUGAAUCCUGUGAUCUGCUGUAGCUAUCUGCCUGGGGCUGAGAUGGAUUACAGACUGUAAAUACCUGCAUCUCAGCCAACUGUAUAAGAUGUGUUGAGACAUCUCACACUAUGCAAACUUUAGGUGCAUAUGUAAGUGUACUGUAACCAGUUAGAUUUGGGCAAAUGUAUCUUUUCUGAAGUAUGUUCACAUAAUGAAUUUUUUUCUGUUAACUUUUGUAAAACAAUAGGCUGUAGUUUAGUUCUCUUGAUGCUGGUCUGAACCUUGUAUUUUUAUACAGAAAAUCAGUAAUCUAGCUUUUGAGAUGUAAUAUUCUGAAGUGUUUAGUUGCACUUCUGUGAGAGAUCAGGCACAGAACUGAAUUUAGGAGCUGUUGAUAUUACAGUAAAGGAAAACAAAAUGUCUGAAUAAAUAGAUAAAAAUUGAAUUAAAAGAAAUUGUAGAAAGGUUCCUGAUUAUCAAGAGGAGUGGUCUGUGGGCAGUCUAAUAUUCAGUAAUGGCAGUAAAUCUUGCAAGUUUUCCAACAGUGGUUGAUAAUUUUAUGAUAAGGACUGUGUGUGGUGCUGAUGCCUUGUGACUAUACUAAAUGAAAAAAUGGAUUCAGGAGUCUGUUUCCAGGCCCAUGUUCUUAUAGUCACCAUGAGCUUUGCUUAUGAAGCUGUACUUCCUUCUCAAGUAGACUAACAAAUUUAAACCAAUUAAUAUUAGUUCUGUGGAUGAAGUCCCACUCUUUAUGUACUGUUUCCUAUGGACACAUGGUACGUACCUUAUCUUGUACUCCAGCAAACUCAAUCAUCUGUUUAGCUAUAGCAGCAAAUUCUGGAUUGAACUCCACAGUGAGAAGACGAGCGCCUGCUUUCAGCAGCCGAGCAAUCCUAACAGCUGAGUAGCCACAGUAUGUUCCCAGCUCCAGUGCAACUUUAGGAUUAACCUCUUCCACUGUCUUGUCCAGAAUUACACCUGAAAAAAAUGUGAACAGGUUAACUUCAGACAAAAUGGACAUCUGAAGAUUCAAAAUGCAAACUUUUAACAUUUUAAAUGUUCAUAUUUCUGAGAAUUCCUACUCAGCCACUGCACACUGCUGUGUAGCCAUAACCACACCACCCACUAUGCAGAGGAGCUAGUUUCACUAAAUGUACCCCUUACAGAGAAGCAUUUCUGUUACAGUGCUUACAGUUGUACUCCUUUAGUUACGUUAAUCCCAGACCGAGCAAAUCCCAGACCGAGCAAAAAAAAAAAAGAGGUACUUUUGUGUCUAACUCACAAGUGAACAUGUUAACAUUUUGCCAUCACAGCUUUUGGAAUAGACUGUAAUUUUCCUGCAGCUAAGAAAAAGAACUCUUUUGUCCAUAUAAUUUCCCUUAGGAAACAAGAAAGAGAUGACUUACUUGCUCAGUAGCAACAACAUCUGAUAGCUGCAUUUGUGUAUUACAUGGCUAGAACUCUCCCUUCAACAUUAACUUAUGUUUGCAGAUACUAAACUCUCAGUUUAAAAUACUUCCCAAUUUUGUUUGUUCAUUUUUGUGUUGCUUUUUUGCUUUUUUUUUUUUUCUUUCAGAUCCACUAUCUUUUAGUAUCUGAAAGUGCUCAGUGUAAUUGUGCCUCAGCGCCAGCCUUUAUGGUACCUCAGACACAACGUAACUCUACAUUUCUUCCAUCUCGUCACCCUCUUCUUACACGCUUGUACACAAUGCACAAAACUACAUUGGAUCCUAUGACUUCCUGGAUUACUCCCUAGAUCCUCCUCCUUAAGAUGUUUGCACAAGCAUGCAUUAAUGUUUACAGAGCUACUCCACUGACCACGAGGCUGUGGUGGGAUUUUUUUGCAGCAGAGAGGAGUGACGGUGAGAAUACAGAAAGAUGUUCUGUGUUCUGUUAGUCUUGAAGCAUCUUUCAAGUGCUGAUCCCUGCUUCAAUUACCUUUUUCAUCGCCCACAUUCAUGGCCCACUCUUUCUCAGAGCAGUAUUUAUCUAUAGUUUCCAUCACACUACAGGGGUCCCCUCGGACUGCGUUCUGCAGCACAAAAUUUAAAAUCCUCUGUUCUUUGCUCUGAUUCAUGAUGAAAUUGGUUAUUUUCUCCUUGAUUAUUUCAUGCCAGACCAGGGCAGCAGUGCCAUUUUUCCUGAUGAUUACCACGAAGAGCAAGGAAAUGAAAA